GAUGAAGAACGCAGCAAAAUGCGAUAAGUAAUGUGAAUUGCAGAAUUCAGUGAAUCAUCGAAUCUUUGAACGCACAUUGCGCCCGCCAGUAUUCUGGCGGGCAUGCCUGUUCGAGCGUCAUUUCAACCCUCAAGCACAGCUUGGUGUUGGGACUCGCGUUAAUUCGCGUUCCCCAAAUUGAUUGGCGGUCACGUCGAGCUUCCAUAGCGUAGUAGUAAAACCCUCGUUACUGGUAAUCGUCGCGGCCACGCCGUUAAACCCCAACUUCUGUAUGUUGACCUCGGAUCAGGUAGGAAUACCCGCUGAACUUAAGCAUAUCAAUAAGCGGAGGA
rnacentral:misc_RNA from 1 species